rnacentral:rRNA from 1 species
GACGAACGCUGGCGGCGUGCCUAAUACAUGCAAGUAGAACGCACAGUUUAUACCGUAGCUUGCUACACCAUAGACUGUGAGUUGCGAACGGGUGAGUAACGCGUAGGUAACCUGCCUGGUAGCGGGGGAUAACUAUUGGAAACGAUAGCUAAUACCGCAUAAUAUUAAUUAUUGCAUGAUAAUUAAUUGAAAGGUGCAAUUGCACCACUACCAGAUGGACCUGCGUUGUAUUAGCUAGUAGGUGAGGUAACGGCUCACCUAGGCGACGAUACAUAGCCGACCUGAGAGGGUGAUCGGCCACACUGGGACUGAGGCACGGCCCAGACUCCUACGGGAGGCAGCAGUAGGGAAUCUUCGGCAAUGGACGAAAGUCUGACCGAGCAACGCCGCGGGAGUGAAGAAGGGUUUCGGAUCGUAAAGCUCUGUUGUAAGAGAAGAACGGGUGUGAGAGUGGAAAGUUCACACUGUGACGGUAUCUUACCAGAAAGGGACGGCUAACUACGUG